UACAGAGGGGGCAAGCGUUGUUCGGAAUUACUGGGCGUAAAGGGCGCGUAGGCGGCCUUCUAAGUCGAACGUGAAAUCCCCGGGCUCAACCCGGGAACUGCGUCCGAUACUGGGAGGCUUGAAUCCGGGAGAGGGAUGCGGAAUUCCAGGUGUAGCGGUGAAAUGCGUAGAUAUCUGGAGGAACACCGGUGGCGAAGGCGGCAUCCUGGACCGGCAUUGACGCUGAGGCGCGACAGCGUGGGGAGCAAACAGG
rnacentral:rRNA from 1 species